UAAAGUUGACCAUUCAAUAGAUGGAACAGUUAAAUUGAGCGUGUUGAUUUUUUACCGUGGGUGAUAACAGCGCUAACAGCUGUCAGUGUUCAGAUGGGUUGAUGAUGCCCGCAUGGAAGGAUGUCUAAAAGCGAACAGGAAUCUACCUCGAAAAGACGCAAACCAUCUUAGUCAAGAUUCAUUUAUACUUGGGCCCGUAUAAUAGUACUUUCGGCUAUUUACAAUUGUGUGUGUAUCUAUCGGUGCACUUGUCGAAACGGUUCAAAUGCCACGCGCCGCGCCAUCUUUUUUUACUUCUAUCAUUCGCUUCGCCCGCGCACCGUACCCCUCCCAUCCAAAUUCAAGAAAACAAAGUUAAAAAAGUCUUUGUUGUAGAAAUCUCAUUAGUAAUUGUAAUUCGUAAUCAACAUUUUUUUACGUGUUUGCAGUGACAUCCGAGGUGACAUCGUUGGCAAGGAUAUCGGAACGAUUAUCGUCGGUCAGAGGAGCCUGGAGACAUGGUUCAUUUGCGAGAUGCCAAUGUUGUUUGUUUCUGGAAAAAUGCUUCCUCGGUAUCGGAAGAGAUUCGACGACUCCUACAUCGUGCGGUCCGGAACCAAUGCGAUCCAUGAUACCGUCCGUGUAUGAAGAGCUGCUGUGUUGGUCCAAUCGACUCGAGAACAGAGCGAUGAGCUCAGGUCUGGAAUACCGACGGUGCGAGGUUUCGACAAUGAUGGCAUGAUGGUGGAAUCCACCAAUGAUGAUUUUGGGUUACUCAAUCUAACGUUGCGUUGCGGCAAGUCUCCCUUGUGUUGCUCCAAGAUGGAAAAACCGGUCCUGUUCCUCCAUAUGGAGAGGCUGGACCAUAACCGAUUAGGUCGGUGGCACCCAAGUUCCCUUCGGCGGUGCGGCAUCAGACGAUGCAACAUCCCGCUGGUGCCCUUGGGGUAUUGCCGCACCGACCUUCCGUAGGGGCCCUUCAUCGGCGAAUGCCGGUUAGGGCAUUGGGCGUCGGCAGUCAACAGGGCCGGCAGGUAAGUUUAUUGACUAAUCCAUGUAUUUGUUUGGAUUCUUUUUAGGUUUGUGUGAACUAGGAAUUGAAGCUAGUGUUUUGAAAACAAAGGCGUCGAAAAGUUGAUAUUGGAGGAGGCCAUUCGGAUGAUCCAAUAUUGGUUAAGAGUUAGUCGGAUGAUUUUAAUUGAUUCGAGUUUUUGAAAAGACAUCCGGUCACUGAAUCGACGGAUCCCGAUAGGAGUAGUUCAAACUCGUAUGGAUAUUAAUAACCAUUUGCGAACAUCCUCCGGAAAGGUGAUGAAAGUGGGCAAAACGACGAAUUCAUUCGAAUUUUUAUAGACAUGAUGCUUGGAGAAUUCCUUCGCGAGUCCUUGGGGAAUUCCGUAGAGAAUCUGAAGUGAUUCCUUCGGGAACCCUUAAGAGAUUCCUUCAAGAAUCCUUGCGGGUUUCUUUCGGGAAUCGUUGGAUAAUUCUUCGAUAAUCUUUGGAGGAAUUCUAGAGGGAUUUUUUCAGAAAUGCUCGAAGAAUUCUUUCGAAAAAUUUUCGAGAUACUCUGGUAGGAUUCCUUUGGGAAUACUUGGAGGAUUCCAGCGGCAAUAUUUGGAGAAUUCCUGCGGAAAUACUUGGAGAAUUCCUGUGACAAUCCUUGAAGGACUCCUUCGGAAACCCUUAGAGAAUUCGCUCAGAAACUGGGAUAUCCCUUCUGAAGUCCUUGGGAAAUUCCUUCGGGAAUCCUUGGGGGAUUCACUCGGAAAUACUUAGGGGAUUCCUUCUUGAAUACUUGAGGGAACUUCUUAGGGAUACCAUGGUAGGAUUCGUUCGGGAAUCCUUGGAUCAUUCAUUCAGAAAUCCUUGGCCCUUUCUUCGGAAAUCCUUGGAAGAUACCUGCUGUAAUCGUUGAAGGAUUCCUGCGGCAAUUCUUAAAAGGUUUCUGCGGCAACACUUGCAGAUUUCCCGCGGCAAUUCUUGAAACACUUCUUCGAAAAUCCUUAGAGGAUUUCUACGGAUACUUAGCAAUAAUUACUGCGGUAUUCUUGAAGAACUCCUUUGAGAAUCCUUAAAGGAUUCGCUCGGAAAUGGUUGAGAGAUUCCGUCGCGAAAUUUAUUGAAAAUCCUGGAUUCCUGUGGGAAUCUAUGGAGAAUUCCUGCGGGAAAACAUGGGAAAUUCCUUUCUAAAGUUUUUCAUAGAUCUUCGAAGGAUUAUUCUAAGGACUUCCAAAGAAAUCUUCCAGGUAUUCUUAAGGAAUCUACC